UUGGAUGCUGGCCCUGGCAAGGGCAUGUGCGCGCCUCCCUUUCUAAUCUCAUAUACACCUUGUGCACCUGUGGCGAGUGCCUCCUCCCAUUUGGAGCCGUCCGGCACGUAUCCCUCUUUCCUUGAAGAAAAGAGGGGGGGGCCGUCUGGGCCGAGGGGCAACUCCCUCCUUUCCAUUAAACCUGUUUAAACGCAUGUCUUGAAGCUCUACGGAGCGAAAGCAAUAAACAACUUUCAACAACGGAUCUCUUGGCUUUUGCAUCGAUGAAGAACGCCGCGAAAGUGCGAAACGUAAUGUGAAUUGCAGAAUUCAGUGAAUCAUCGAAUCUUUGAACGCAUCUUGCGCUCCUUGGUAUUCCGAGGAGCAUGCCUGUUUGAGUGCCAUAAACUACCUCAGCCCCUUGAUCAUCCCCCUUGGGGAGAAAGGGGUUUGGAUUUUGGACGCUUGCGGUGGGUUCUUUUCCUGCCGCUCGUCUUCAAAUGCAUUAGCUGGUCCCCUCUUUAGAGUCGGUUCGACGACGGUGUGAUAAUAGACACUUUGUUAACUGUGGCGCCGUUUGGGUCGACUUUGAAUCUUGGGUCGCUUACAAAGCCGUCUUUGGACAAAAAUGCCCAUUCGGCCUCAAAUCAGGUAGGACUACCCGCUGAACUUAAGCAUAUCAAUAAGCGGAGGAAAAGAA
rnacentral:rRNA from 1 species